UACGGAGGGUGCAAGCGUUAUCCGGAUUCACUGGGUUUAAAGGAUGCGUAGGUGGUUUUGUAAGUCAGUGGUGAAAGCCCGGAGCUCAACUCCGGAACUGCCAUUGAUACUGCUUAACUUGAAUCAACUUGAGGUGGAUGGAAUAUUACAUGUAGCGGUGAAAUGCUUAGAUAUGUAAUAGAACACCGAUUGCGAAGGCAGUUCACUAAGGUUGUAUUGACACUGAGGCACGAAAGCGUGGGGAUCAAACAGG
rnacentral:rRNA from 1 species